CAACAUGCAGCUUGACCAAGAUGAACUCACACUAACUAGCCAAAACUUCUACACUGUUCCAGCACCUUCAGUGGCACUGCCAGAAGAGAGCCAGAAGACUCCACUGGAAAUUUCAAUUAACAAUAGAUUGCAGAACAUACCGUGAUGUAACACCAAGCCCCUUCCCCCCUGCCCCUCCCCCAAAUGUAUUUUCUUUUGGCGUUGGUUCCCUUAUUGCAAUAAAUAGUGAUGUCACACUUGACA